rnacentral:rRNA from 1 species
AUUGAACGCUGGCGGCAUGCUUUACACAUGCAAGUCGAACGGCAGCGCGGGCUUCGGCCUGGCGGCGAGUGGCGAACGGGUGAGUAAUACAUCGGAACGUGCCCAGUAGUGGGGGAUAGCUCGGCGAAAGCCGGAUUAAUACCGCAUACGACCUGAGGGUGAAAGCGGGGGAUCUUCGGACCUCGCGCUAUUGGAGCGGCCGAUGGCAGAUUAGCUAGUUGGUGGGGUAAAGGCCUACCAAGGCGACGAUCUGUAGCUGGUCUGAGAGGACGACCAGCCACACUGGGACUGAGACACGGCCCAGACUCCUACGGGAGGCAGCAGUGGGGAAUUUUGGACAAUGGGCGAAAGCCUGAUCCAGCAAUGCCGCGUGUGUGAUGAAGGCCUUCGGGUUGUAAAGCACUUUUGGCGGGAACGAAAGGGACUGUGCCAAUAU